CCUACGGGGGGCAGCAGUGAGGAAUAUUGGUCAAUGGACGAGAGCCUGAACCAGCCAAGUAGCGUGAAGGAUGACUGCCCUAUGGGUUGUAAACUUCUUUUAUAAAGGAAUAAAACGAGGCACGUGUGCCUCUUUGCAUGUACUUUACGAAUAAGGAUCGGCUAACUCCGGGCCAGCAGCCGCGGUAAUACGGAGGAUCCGAGCGUUAUCCGGAUUUAUUGGGUUUAAAGGGUGCGUAGGUGGGUAGUUAAGUCAGCGGUGAAAGUUAGUGGCUCAACCAUAGAAUUGCCGUUGAAACUGGUUGACUUGAGUAUGUGAGAGGUAGGCGGAAUGCGUGGUGUAGCAGUGAAAUGCAUAGAUAUCACGCAGAACUCCGGUUGCGAAGGCAGCUUACUGGACUAUAACUGACGCUGAGGCACGAAAGCGUGGGGAUCAAACAGGAUUAGAUACCCGAGUAGUC
rnacentral:rRNA from 1 species